rnacentral:tRNA from 1 species
AUGCUGAAAGUAUACAAGUACAGUUGCCUUCCAAGCAAAAGGGCCUUACAGACAGGUCAGCAUA